rnacentral:rRNA from 1 species
AGUGAACGCUGGCGGUAGGCCUAACACAUGCAAGUCGAACGGCAGCACAGUAAGAGCUUGCUCUUACGGGUGGCGAGUGGCGGACGGGUGAGGAAUACAUCGGAAUCUACUUUUUCGUGGGGGAUAACGUAGGGAAACUUACGCUAAUACCGCAUACGACCUACGGGUGAAAGCAGGGGAUCUUCGGACCUUGCGCGAUUGAAUGAGCCGAUGUCGGAUUAGCUAGUUGGCGGGGUAAAGGCCCACCAAGGCGACGAUCCGUAGCUGGUCUGAGAGGAUGAACAGGCACCCUGGAACUGAGGCACGGUCCCGACUCCUACGGGAGGCAGCAGUGGGGAAUAUUGGACAAUGGGCGCAAGCCUGAUCCAACCCUACCGGGUGGGUGAAGAAGGCCUUCGGGUUUUAAAGCCCUUUUGUUGGGAAAGAAAAGCAGCAGGUUAAUACCCCGCUGUUCUGACGGUACCCAAAGAAUAAGCACCGGCUAACUUCGUG